GACGAACCGUGCGAACGUUGUUCGGAAUCACUGGGCUUAAAGGGCGCGUAGGCGGGUUCGCAAGUCAGGGGUGAAAUCUUUCAGCUUAACUGGAAAACAGCCCCUGAUACUGCGAGUCUCGAGGGAGGUAGGGGCAUGUGGAACUUCCGGUGGAGCGGUGAAAUGCGUAGAUAUCGGAAGGAACGCCGGUGGCGAAAGCGACUUCCUGGACCAAUACUGACGCUCAUGUGCGAAAGCGUGGGGAGCAAACAGG
rnacentral:rRNA from 1 species